AUGUCUGUAUUAACAUCUGUGGGAGACAGCAUCCUACUCGGGCACGUUCACGGACGCCUGCUCCACGCACAAGAGGAAGGACGAGCAGGCACUCUGCAGAAUCCUCUCAUUAAGAUGACAGGCCCAACCAUGGCAACAAUUAACUCCAUUCAGCCACAAUUCAUCCCUCUUUUCAGGGUGCACAGAAGAGAUGAGAGGAGACGUGCAGGUCAGACUUAGCUGAGUGUUAGCCUCGCUCUGUGAAGGAUAAUCUGAGGUACUGACUAAAGUAAUGACACUGAUGGAGGUCUGUCCGCAUCAUAUCCAACAGGAUAUCCCAUUCUAGGGAUGGACCGCCAUAGGGAGCACCAGGACUUCCUGCUGGGCUGGUCAACAUGGAGUGCUAUCAAAAAAAAAAAAAAGGUACAAAGUAUUUAUGCAACGAUUUUAAAGCAGGAAAAAGACCCCAUCAGUACAGUCCUUUACAGUACAAGUUGACCCAAAUACCUGGUUAUUUAAAAUGCCUAAUUGCAAAUUAUUUGGGCCUGUAUGAUCAAAUUGCAUUCCAUUUUGCUCUUGUAAACGCAAAAGUUUGAUACCAAAAAGAGGUUUCUUUGAGGAAUCUUUUUUUAACGCUUUGUUUUAAUAGUGAAGAAAAUGUUGCCUGGAAUUAUGGAUACCUUUGUUUUUUGUUAUGGACUCCUCUGAUAAUGAGUUUCAACACCUCAAUGCAUUUCACAAUUAGUUGAAUUGUUUUCCCUGUCAUUUCCAAUUAUUCUUACCAUUAAAAUGUCCAUGACAAACCAAUGGAAUAGAACUUCCAACAUUCCGAUGAAAUCUUCAGUACAUCACCAUAAUCAAGCAUGUAAAACACAAACAGUGUUUACACUACCAUACCACUUCAGAUCCAUCAUCUGGAUAUAUAACAAUUAUCGGUAUAAUGCAAGCUAAUUAUGACUAUUUGACUGUGUUUGAUUCACAGCCUUAUUAAUAAUUCAUGGUGGCUUAUGAUGGUUUCUGCUACUCAAGGCAUGAUAUUAUAUAUAUUGCAUUUAGCGUAACUCCAUCAUUACAUUACAUUAGUUUUCAAAAGUUGUAAUCAAAGGAAAUGCAAAACAAAAAUGUAUUUGCAUUGAUGCUGGUAAUUAUAGCAAUUAAAAAUGUGAAAGGAACUUAAUUACAUGUAUCCUGUCAUGGUACAGUGGAAAAGCAGACUAAUGAAACAAUUCUCUGUCCCAAACAAAUAAAAGUUAUCAGAAACACUAUUAUUAUUAUAUUUACAUGUAAUUAUUUAGCAGUUGUUCUGCAUGAAAUACACAAUCAGACAGAUAAUCCAAAGAAACAGCAACAGCAAUAAUAAUAAAGAAAAGAAACACCCCUACUUGCUG
ensembl:lncRNA